rnacentral:rRNA from 1 species
CAUUAAAUAAUUUAGAUGGCCUUUGCUAGUUUUCUAGCGAAUGGUUCAUUCUUUUUUACUGUGAACUGUUUUAAUUUUUCAGCGUCUGAGGAAUGUCUUUUAGCCAUAGGGAUAGGCUACUAGAAUGUUAACCGAGCUGAAAGUCAGGCUUAGGCCUGGUAUCCUAUUAAUUAUUUACCAAAAGAAUUCAGUAUUAUAAUUGUAACAUAAGCGUAAAAAACUUAUAAAACAACUUUUAACAACGGAUCUCUUGGUUCUCGCAUCGAUGAAGAACGUAGCAAAGUGCGAUAACUAGUGUGAAUUGCAUAUUCAGUGAAUCAUCGAGUCUUUGAACGCAACUUGCGCUCAAUGGUAUUCCAUUGAGCACGCCUGUUUCAGUAUCAAAAACACCCCACAUUCAUAAUUUUGUUGUGAAUGGAAAUGAGAGUUUCGGCUUUAUUGCUGAAUUCUUUAAAAUUAUUAGGCCUGAACUAUUGUUCUUUCUGCCUGAACAUUUUUUUAAUAUAAAGGAAUGCUCUAGUAAAAAGACUAUCUCUGGGGCCUCCCAAAUAAAUCAUUCUUAAAUUUGAUCUGAAAUCAGGCGGGAUUACCCGCUGAACUUAAGCAUAUCAAUAA